rnacentral:rRNA from 1 species
GAUGAACGCUGGCGGCGUGCCUAAUACAUGCAAGUCGAGCGAACGGACGAGAAGCUUGCUUCUCUGAUGCUAGCGGCGGACGGGUGAGUAACACGUGGAUAACCUACCUAUAAGACUGGGAUAACUUCGGGAAACCGGAGCUAAUACCGGAUAAUAUUUUGAACCGCAUGGUUCAAAAGUGAAAGACGGUCUUGCUGUCACUUAUAGAUGGAUCCGCGCUGCAUUAGCUAGUUGGUAAGGUAACGGCUUACCAAGGCAACGAUGCAUAGCCGACCUGAGAGGGUGAUCGGCCACACUGGAACUGAGACGCGGUCCAGACUCCUACGGGAGGCAGCAGUAGGGAAUCUUCCGCAAUGGGCGAAAGCCUGACGGAGCAACGCCGCGUGAGUGAUGAAGGUCUUCGGAUCGUAAAACUCUGUUAUUAGGGAAGAACAUAUGUGUAAGUAACUGUGCACAUCUUGACGGUACCUAAUCAGAAAGCCACGGCUAACUACGUG